rfam:Streptomyces sp. 150FB scaffold00001, whole genome shotgun sequence.
CUUCAGCGAGCCCAGCAGCAGCGGCUGUUCGCGGUCCUGACCGUAGGUGGCCAGCAGCGCCUGCGCCUC